AGCGAACGCUGGCGGCAGGCCUAACACAUGCAAGUCGAACGAACUCUUCGGAGUUAGUGGCGGACGGGUGAGUAACACGUGGGAACGUGCCUUUUGGUUCGGAAUAACUCAGGGAAACUUGUGCUAAUACCGAAUGUGCCCUUCGGGGGAAAGAUUUAUCGCCAUUAGAGCGGCCCGCGUCUGAUUAGCUAGUUGGUGAGGUAACGGCUCACCAAGGCGACGAUCAGUAGCUGGUCUGAGAGGAUGACCAGCCACACUGGGACUGAGGCACGGCCCAGACUCCUACGGGAGGCAGCAGUGGGGAAUCUUGCGCAAUGGGCGAAAGCCUGACGCAGCCAUGCCGCGUGAAUGAUGGAGGUCUUAGGAUUGUAAAAUUCUUUCACCGGGGACGAUAAUGACGGUACCCGGAGAAGAAGCCCCGGCUAACUUCGUG
rnacentral:rRNA from 1 species